GAGGUGCGAAAGCGUGGGGAGCAAACAGGAUUAGAUACCCUGGUAGUCCACGCUGUAAACGAUGUCUACUAGCCGUCGGGGUCCUUAGUGACUUUGGUGGCGCAGCUAACGCGAUAAGUAGACCGCCUGGGGAGUACGGCCGCAAGGUUAAAACUCAAAUGAAUUGACGGGGGCCCGCACAAGCGGUGGAGCACGUGGUUUAAUUCGAUGCAACGCGAAGAACCUUACCAGGUCUUGACAUCCUCGGAACUUGGCAGAGAUGCCUUGGUGCCUUCGGGAGCCGAGUGACAGGUGCUGCAUGGCCGUCGUCAGCUCGUGUCGUGAGAUGUUGGGUUAAGUCCCGUAACGAGCGCAACCCUUGUCCUUAGUUGCCAGCACGUCAUGGUGGGAACUCUAGGGAGACUGCCGGUGACAAACCGGAGGAAGGUGGGGACGACGUCAGGUCAUCAUGGCCCUUACGACCUGGGCUACACACGUGCUACAAUGGCUGGUACAGAGGGUUGCGAAGUCGCGAGGCGAAGCUAAUCCCUUAAAGCCAGUCGUAGUCCGGAUCGGAGUCUGCAACUCGACUCCGUGAAGUCGGAAUCGCUAGUAAUCGCGGAUCAGAAUGCCGCGGUGAAUACGUUCCCGGGCCUUGUACACACCGCCC
rnacentral:rRNA from 1 species